CCUACGGGUGGCAGCAGUGGGGAAUAUUGCACAAUGGGGGAAACCCUGAUGCAGCGACGCCGCGUGAGUGAAGAAGUAUCUCGGUACGUAAAGCUCUAUCAGCAGGGAAGAAAAUGACGGUACCUGACUAAGAAGCCCCGGCUAACUACGUGCCAGCAGCCGCGGUAAUACGUAGGGUGCAAGCGUUAUCCGGAUGUACUGGGUGUAAAGGGAGCGUAGACGGCAGCACAAGUCUGGAGUGAAAUCCCGGGGCUUAACCCCGGAACUGCUGUGGAAACUGUGCGGCUGGAGUGCAGGUGGGGUAAGCGGAAUUCGUGGUGUAGCGGUGAAAUGCGUAGAUAUUAGGAGGAACACCGGUGGCGAAGGCAGCUUACUGGACUGUAACUGACGUUGAGGCUCGAAAGCGUGGGGAGCAAACAGGAUUAGAUACCCCAGUAGUC
rnacentral:rRNA from 1 species